rnacentral:misc_RNA from 1 species
GUUGAUGAGACAGUAUUUGACAUCGAGAAGGAGAUUGAUGAUCUAUUGCCUGUUGAAGUGAAAGAACAGCGUCUCAGCAACUUGCUUCAAGCCACAAUGGUUGGAGGAUGUGUUGCAGCCAUGCCUUUCCUCAAAAAGAUCCCAACUUCAGUCCUUUGGGGUUACUUUGCCUUCAUGGCCAUUGAAAGUUUGCCUGGUAACCAAUUCUGGGAAAGGAUAUUGCUGCUCUUCACUGCGCCAAGCAGAAGAUACAAGGUCCUUGAGGAGUACCAUGCCACUUUUGUUGAAACAGUG